GAUGAACGCUGGCGGCGUGCCUAAUACAUGCAAGUCGAGCGAACAGACGAGGAGCUUGCUCCUCUGACGUUAGCGGCGGACGGGUGAGUAACACGUGGAUAACCUACCUAUAAGACUGGGAUAACUUCGGGAAACCGGAGCUAAUACCGGAUAACAUGUUGAACCGCAUGGUUCAACAGUGAAAGACGGUCUUGCUGUCACUUAUAGAUGGAUCCGCGCCGCAUUAGCUAGUUGGUAAGGUAACGGCUUACCAAGUCAACGAUGCGUAGCCGAACUGAGAGGGUGAUCGGCCACACUGGAACUGAGACACGGUCCAGACUCCUACGGGAGGCAGCAGUAGGGAAUCUUCCGCAAAGGGCGAAAGCCUGACGGAGCAACGCCGCGUGAGUGAAGAAGGUCUUCGGAUCGUAAAACUCUGUUAUUAGGGAAGAACAAAUGUGUAAGUAACUAUGCACGUCUUGACGGUACCUAAUCAGAAAGCCACGGCUAACUACGUG
rnacentral:rRNA from 1 species